GACGAACGCUGGCGGCGUGCUUAACACAUGCAAGUCGAACGGAAAGGCCCUGCUUUUGUGGGGUGCUCGAGUGGCGAACGGGUGAGUAACACGUGAGUAACCUGCCCUUGACUUUGGGAUAACUUCAGGAAACUGGGGCUAAUACCGGAUAGGAGAUCCUGCUGCAUGGUGGGGGUUGGAAAGUUUCGGCGGUUGGGGAUGGACUCGCGGCUUAUCAGCUUGUUGGUGGGGGAGUGGCUUACCAAGGCUUUGACGGGUAGCCGGCCUGAGAGGGUGACCGGCCACCAUGGGACUGAGAUACGGCCCAGACUCCUACGGGAGGCAGCAGUGGGGAAUAUUGCACAAUGGGCGGAAGCCUGAUGCAGCAACGCCGCGUGCGGGAUGCCGGCCUUCGGGUUGUAAACCGCUUUCGCCUGUGACGAAGCGUGAGUGACGGUAAUGGGUAAAGAAGCACCGGCUAACUACGUG
rnacentral:rRNA from 1 species